AAGGUAGCGAAAUUCCUUGUCGGGUAAGUUCCGACCCGCACGAAAGGCGUAACGAUUUGGGCACUGUCUCAACGAGAGACUCGGUGAAAUCAUAGUACCUGUGAAGAUGCAGGUUACCCGCGACAGGACGGAAAGACCCCGUGGAGCUUUACUGUAGCCUGAUAUUGAAAUUCGGCACAGCUUGUACAGGAUAGGUAGGAGCCUUUGAAACGUGAGCGCUAGCUUACGUGGAGGCGCUGGUGGGAUACUACCCUAGCUGUGUUGGCUUUCUAACCCGCACCACUUAUCGUGGUGGGAGACAGUGUCAGGCGGGCAGUUUGACUGGGGCGGUCGCCUCCUAAAAGGUAACGGAGGCGCUCAAAGGUUCCCUCAGAAUGGUUGGAAAUCAUUCAUAGAGUGUAAAGGCAUAAGGGAGCUUGACUGCGAGACCUACAAGUCGAGCAGGGUCGAAAGACGGACUUAGUGAUCCGGUGGUUCCGCAUGGAAGGGCCAUCGCUCAACGGAUAAAAGCUACCCCGGGGAUAACAGGCUUAUCUCCCCCAAGAGUUCACAUCGACGGGGAGGUUUGGCACCUCGAUGUCGGCUCAUCGCAUCCUGGGGCUGUAGUCGGUCCCAAGGGUU
rnacentral:rRNA from 1 species